GCGGGAAACGGGUCUAUUGUAAAUAGUUGGAUUGUGGGUAAAACGGAGUUAAAUGUUCAACCGCUGCAGAGGCUUCUGGGGAAAAUAAAGGGGUGACUGUGUGUUUGGCACUGGAGAAACAGAGAAAGUGAGGGGGGCGCUAAGAUGGCUGGAAAGGUUGGUUAGCGAUGCAGGUCCUUGAGGAAAAGAGGUUCUCGGAUCGAAAGCAUCAUUUUCUUUGUUUGCUGAUGAGUGAUGUUCUAAUAAGACGUUCGUUAUGAACGCUCCCUGCGCGUCCUUCUUCGCCCCAUCCGAACCCAGAGCGCUGCGCGCCGCAAUAUGUUUACAGCUAUACACGGUCUCCUGCUAAUUUCUGUAGGGUCGUGUCCCAUGAGGAUGACCUGGUGAACCUGCCAUCUGUGACAUGUUGGCUUUACGCGCUGUGUCACUCCUCCAUUGCUCGUGUAAAAGGGACAGUCCGCUCUGUAAGUACAGAUUAUAAUUUAAUUUUUAGGGAAUUGUAAUGUAAAAAAAAAUCUCAUUCAUUUAGUAAAAUCGUGUAUAAAAACGACAUUGCAGUACCUAGGCGAUAUCAUUUGAUUUGAAUUGUGAGCGCUUUCCUCGUCGUCCGACAGGUCAGAUGUUCCUUUAAAAAAGUGCAUCCCCUCCGCCGCGUGGGCCGGUUCGUGGGAGAUGACGCCCCGUCCACGAGCGCAACUCAACUCGUGAACCACUCAGGACCGGGGGUUUGAGCGCCGCGGCUCGGGGAUCCGGGGUCGUGUGCUCGUUUGCGGGAGCGGAUCCAGAGAGAUGCUCGGCCGACAACAACACCGAGCCCCGAGAGAGAGAGAGCCGCACCGUUAUAUUUGUGCAAUCGUUUCCAAAAUCGUUGCCUUUAAAUAAAAAAAUACUUUAAAAUUAUUUAAAAAAAAAAAAAAUAGCGACCAAUUCAACAAAGGGGUCUAAAUAAGCGCUUUACGAUUUUUUUUUUUUCUCUUUUCUUCGAAUAAAGGUAACAAUGGAUGUGGCGGAUCUGUCGUUCGCUUUGCCUGCGAUUCUUUUCACGCUUCUUGCGAUUGUUUUAGCGAAUACGAUUUUCGGUAAGAAAACCACGAGUGUCCCGCAGUCCGAGGCGCAGAGCGGUGCUCCCGCUGAGAGCGACUGGACCGCGGACGAGCGAUGUGAGCGUGGACGAGAGGCGGACACACCGGCCCUGCCGCCUCCUCGGACCAUAAUAAAGGGGGAAUUUGAGGGAGCGGAGCCCGUCGGCGGGGGGCAGCUGCAGGAGGACGGAGCGGCACCCGCCGAGUCCCCGCCGGGCCCGCAGGUGGAGGACGACGUGGGCGUGAGCACGAGCACGAGGUGCCCGGGACGCCGCCAGGUGUCCGGGGAACCGGAUUAUAACACGGAAGGGAGUCCUGAAAUCGUGGGUGAAGGAGACUGUAAAGCAGUGCCGGAGGCUCAGACAGCGUUCUUGAAGACAACCAAUUUGGUGCAUGACCCUAUCCAAGACGUGGACGUCAUCUCCAGACCCAUCCCUGUCAAUGUGGCACCCUGCCACCUCUCACUUGAGAGGGAUGUUUUUCUACACCAUCUUCCUGACGUGGAAAUUCACAAGACCAGCCCAGACUCAGAUUCGGAACCUGCACUUGAACAGGUGGAGGAUGAUCUGGCUGCACUGGAGGAGAACCUUGCAGAGUACAGUCCAGAAAAUGAGGAUGAUGAAGGUAUUCUUUCAAAUGUGAGAGGGAAAAGGCCGUUAGGAUUUCUCUUCCGUGCGUGUGCUUCGUGAUCAGCAGUACUGAAAAAGGGCACAUUCAGAGUAAAAUGCAAUGUUACCUUCCAUUACAGACAGGGCUUGAGUGCAGUUCUGAAAUGCAUUUGCUCAGCCCCAGGCUGCGGCAGAACACAUUUAGCUGACAUAAUUGAAUCUUUCGGGAAAUUCAAUAUGAUCGUCUAACCAACCAUAUUUCCUGGAUGCCUACUAGAAAUGUAGGUUAAGGCACAGCAAACACUAUUGUCAUUUUACAUUUAUUCACUUAGCAGACACUUUUGUCCAAAGCAACUUACAACAGAUACUACGUAGUGUUAUCAGCCCACACACCUUAUUCACCAAGGUGACUACACUGCAAGAUACACUACUUACAAGGGGUUACUCAUCCAUGCAUCAGUGAAAUUCACUCACACACUCUGGGGGAACCUGAACAGCAUGUCUUUGGACUGUGGGAGGAAACCAGAGCACCUGGAGGAAACCCACACAGACACAGGGAGAACAUGCAAACUCCACACAGACUGAGUGGGGAUCAAACCCACGUUCUCUCAUACCACCCAGGCUCUGUGAGACAGCAGUGCUACUCACUGUGCCAUCAUGCCCUCAUUUUUGAUGAGGUAUUUUAUGCAAUAAUGAAAAUUCAGUUUUUUUCUGUAAAAACUGAAUCAGGAACUUUUUCAACACUGUUCCCUAUUUUUUGAUUCACUCGUCAAAACUUUAAUUCAUAUCCAGAAACCCAGUAUCCAGUAAAGGUUUUCAGUGGUUUAGAACCAGUCCCAGAGAGCAUACAGGAGGGUAGACCCCAAGUGGAGCACCACGCUAUCAAGGGGUAAUCACAUGCAGUCACUUACACAUACACACACUAAGGACAAUUUAGAUUCACAUGUUUAGCUGAUCAUGUUCAUGCCUUUUGACUGUGGGAAGAAACCAGAGUCCUCCCUACAUGAACACAAGGGGAAUGUGCAAACACCACACAUACGGAGCGUAAUUCCACCCCAAUUUAAACUCACAGUUCAGGACUUGUGAGGCUCAAGUAUUGCCCUGCUGCAUCAUCAUGCAUCUUAAGUCUUUUGUAUAUGUUUUCAUAUGAUUUCUUGACCUGGUGCCCUUCUGAUCAGUUUUUUUUGUAUUACUAAGUCCUGAUUUUAAUGUUACUUGGAAAAGUACAGGAGACAACCUCAUAUCAGAUGAGGGGUUAAAAAAAAAGGGCUCUGAACUAGAAUCUGCAUAGCUUGUUUUUUCACCCAUUUAUAAUUUAAUUAUGUUUGCCUUGUUAUUCCUGCUCUUAUGGUUUCAUACACUAAACGGUUGAAAAUGGCUGGGGGGAAGAAUGCAGCUAUGCCUAUGAUUCAUUUAGCUGAACAGCUAUAUGAAAAAACAAGUGGAAAUAUUUCACAUUUCAUUUCAGCUGUUCUCAUGCAUUACUUCACUUCCGUGAUGUUCUCGGAACUGCGUGCAUCUUAGGUAAAUAGUCAGAAGAAAACUAUUAGGAAAUGAAUUACGUAGCUCCACAUGAAAUGCUCUCAUUUUAUUUCAACGCAGAUACUAAGUUUUACUUUAGCAUUAAACACAGUAUAUAUAAUGUCCCAGUCAUUCAAGAAAAAGCAGAAAUAUGUAAAGACAAGGUGAGAAUGUCACGAAAAGAAUGAUAUAGCAACUCUGGUUGCGACAGCAAAACAAGAUCAAUGUUAAGCAAGAUAUUUAUUUACCUUUAUUACUUUGCAACUAGACAAUAGCUAAAUAACUAAUAAUUAUUAAUUUGUAUCGUCACCGGGGGGUGCAGUGGCGCGGCGAGUUUGACCGGGUCCUGCUCUCCGGUGGGUCUGGGGUUCGAGUUCCUCUUUGGGUGCCUUGCGAUGGACUGGCAUCCCGUCCUAGAUGUGUCCCCUCCCCCUCCAGCCUUACAUCCUGUGUUUCCGGGUUAGGCUCUGGCUCCCCGUGAGCCUGUAUGGGACAAGCAAUUUCAGAUGGUGUGUGUGUGUGUGCUGUAUAGUCACAAAAUGUGUUGGCAAUAUGCAACAAACUGACUUUAAGCAUUAAGGAAAAAUCCUACAAACCCUUAAAACUGCUAUUGGAGUCAAAGAUAGCAAACAAAUGCCUGUGGUCUUCCUUCUGCGUCAGAUACGAUUGCGGUCGGUACAGAGGCCCAGGAUCUCUCCCUGAGAUACGCUCUUGGGAAGCUGAGAACCAGCCAGCUGGAGGAGAUGAUGACCAAGGAGGAGGUGGAGGAGAAGGAGCAGAGGUGAGUACAGCCCAGCACUGCCAAGGGUACGUGGCUUUCCUCCCCUCUGCACUGUGAUAAAGUUACAGCCUUGGGAAGAUGUGAAUCACUCAGCUAGCAACUCUCAUAUUGUAAAUCUUACAUAUAACUGGGCAGAUUUAUUACCUUAUUUAAGCAGAACCUUAUUAGAGAAUAGGAACACCACCAAUUUUUCAUAUGAGACACUGAAGGCAGCUCAUCUUGAAAACAACAAGGUUGACUUAAUUGGACUUUUAUGAUACCUGAUUGAGAUGCUUGGGAAUUUAAUUUUGUGAGGCUAAUUUAAUACAAGGCAAUUAUAGAUUAUAAUUAGAGAUAGAAUAUUGUGGCUACAUAUGCACUUUGUGAAGACAUACUUUAUUUUUCCAAGUUUUAAGCCCCUCUGUCUUGUGUAUCUAAGUUAAUGAGGGGAUAUGAUGUGAUGUUCAAAGUGAACUGUGAGUUCUUGGAGUGUGUUGAACACCCUCAGCCACCAAGGGAGGUUGAAUCAUGUCCCUAAUAUAAAUGCAACCAUUUUUUUGUAAGGACUGAGGAGACCCUAAGGGACUGUGGCUUUGAGUGUUUUUUUUUUUCUUAUUAAAUAUUCUUGUAGAAUUUCAUAAUAGUGUUAAUCCAUUUUGAGUAACAUAUUUCAGUCACUUUUUAUUGUUUCAUCAGCUGACCAGGUCCCAUGUUUUAACUGUAACCGUGUGCAAAUGUUAAAAUAAAAGUACAUUUCUCAUUUUUGGUAAGUUAGUA
rnacentral:lncRNA from 1 species